CCUAAAUCCAAAGAGGACUGUUUCAUUUAUGUUAGACAUGUGCCACAGGCCCUGAUGUUCAGAGGACAAUGAUGCUACCAGGCACUCCCCGCUUGAUUAUACAAGAUGACAUGAUGAAGCCUAAAGCCUGGAUGUUGUCAACUGAAGGACAAGUGGUUAUGGGACCACAUCGUGACUUCAUCAAUGGUAUUGCUGCAAUCUUCGCAAGUUAUUACAACUUUAACUUGCAGUAUCCUGAAGAUACCUCGUCCCCAUUGGAGCUUAUCCAAAGUUAAACUAGCAUACUAGCAUUGUAGAUUACACGUGUCCUUUUAAAGAAGCAUGGGUGAUAGUGAGACCAGUAAAUCACCACAAUGUUGUAAAAAUGGCAGAGAAAUCUUGUUUGGCUUUCUUACUUAGGAGGAGUGUUAGGCAUCAGUAUUCUGUAGAAAGGAACAGCAUUUAACGUCUUUUGAAAAACAUCAUGAAAAGCUCAA